rnacentral:lncRNA from 1 species
AUCAGAAGGUGUCGUGCUAAGAAUGUUAAUGUUUGAGAGUUUAAAAAAUCCCCGACACCACUCACUUUAACAGAUUGACAAAAACAGUCAAAGAGCUGCACCUGAAAGGAAACGAUUCCAAAAAAAGUGAAUUCUUUCACACUUAACAUUUUACUCACAGACUUUAAAAGUGAGGACGUUUGAAUAUUUGAAACAUGGAGAUGGAAGUGGGGUUAAGAGGGGGGGGGGGGCGGCGAUGGUUAAAGCAGGAGUGGCAAAAAGUGCGUUUGCUGUUUUACAGGAAUGUGUUAUGAGAAAAAAAUCUUGUGAUUCACCUCCAUACACUCCCCAACCCCCUGCCCCCCCCCCCUUUUCACAAUUCACAGCCACCUUUCAGUGUUCAGAAUUCAGUGCAAAGUAUCUAAAGAAUGUGAGGAUGCGGGAAUUUGAAUUUCGGGGUGCAGGGGUGGGGUGGGAGUGGAGGGUUGAUGCUUCAAAGAUGCUAUAAAGAAUGAUCUAAAACGUUUUACUUGUAAAGAGAUCCUUCACAGGCUGACAAAUGCUCGCUCCAUUUCCGCUGCUGAUCCAAACAUGAUCUAUUGACAAGUGAUAGGAUUCGUAUCCUUCUGGAUGAUCCCUUUUUCCCUCGUUUCUCAAAUGCCACAUCUUUCUUAUGUGAAGUCAACGGCCGAGUCGCAGUUUUCAGAAAAGUAAGAAUAUUCCAGCAAAAAAAUGUUAGACUCCUUGAAACAUCUCCUUGCAGAUUUACUGCACAGUAAGUUGUGGCACAGAUUAUUGAACAAUUUCUGAAGUUCGGAAUUUUGUGAAACAAAACAAAUAAAAACAGUAAAUAAAUAAAUAAACAAAACAAUAACCCCCCCCCCAAAAAAAAAAAAAAACAACCUAUGAAUAAAUAAUAAAAAAUAUUUGUAAAUUCAAAAUUCAAAAACAAAUUAUAACCCAAAGUUAUUCUACAUCUUUCUAUGCAAGGGAAAAAUAAACGUUUCAUCCCGAAUGAGUUCACACUGCAGCAAAUAAUUUCUGGAAAAAAAUAGACCAUCUCUAAUUCUUCUGAAACAUCUUAAGUACAGUGAUAACAUAGUUAGAAGGCCAUUAACUAUAAAAAUUGCGGGAUAGUAUUGUUGGCCGUAUGAAAACAUUCCUAACCACAACGAAAACGUCUCUGACAAGCGGAGUUUUGAAGUCCUUUCAUGUAGGCUUCCUAAUAUGGAAAACAUCGAGGGACAAUGUAACGAGGUUUCGAAAAUAAUAUAAUAAAGAUCUAACAAAGUGUAAAGGUCAAUGAACAAAAUUAAUAUUAAUAUUAUAAGAAUUAAGGUUUAAGUAGGUUCCCUAAUUUCGAAAAAUGUGCAAAUUCGGUAUCCACCGAAACUUGAAUAUACGCUCUUGGGACAGUGGGGAGUACAAACGCUGCUGAAAAUAUACGCGCACGGGGAUGGAAACGUUAAAAUUUAGACAUGUGGCAAGUUUAAUCUUGCCAAUUUGUUUGCUAACCCCACUGUUUGUCUCUAGCACUCACGAAUGGAAGUCAAGGAAGGACGUCUAUUGUAACGACAGAAGUUCACAAUUUCAACACAGAUAUACAAUCUCAUUGACAAAUCUUAUGCUUCGAAGAGGGACGGAGGCUAAUGGCUUGAAUAGAAGAUUCCUGGAUCGGAGAAUGAAAGUGGCCUUAUAAGGUAAGUUGGAACUCGUUUCGUUGUUUGGUUUAGCUUUUGUGUGUGUGUGAUCUGCCCAUCCAGACGGCUAUCUUGCUGUCUUGUCUCGAGAAGAGAAUAAUAUAUAGAUCUAGAUCUAGCUACGUAUGUGCUGGAACGCUGCAAAUGUCUAUCUCUCAAUCCAUAUAUUUAUCGACCUAUAUAUCUAUUUAUUCAUCUAUCUGUCUAUCCGU